rnacentral:rRNA from 1 species
GAUGAACGCUAGCGGCAGGCUUAAUACAUGCAAGUCGAGGGGUAGCAAGAUUGUAGCAAUACAAUUGUUGACGACCGGCAAACGGGUGCGGAACACGUACACAACCUUCCUACAAGUGGGGAAUAGCCCAGAGAAAUUUGGAUUAAUACCCCGUAACAUAGCGAUGUGGCAUCACAUUGCUAUUAUAGCUUCGGCGCUUGUUGAUGGGUGUGCGGCUGAUUAGAUAGUUGGCGGGGUAACGGCCCACCAAGUCUACGAUCAGUAGCUGAUGUGAGAGCAUGAUCAGCCACACGGGAACUGAGACACGGGCCCGACUCCUACGGGAGGCAGCAGUAAGGAAUAUUGGACAAUGGACGCAAGUCUGAUCCAGCCAUGCCGCGUGAAGGAUUAAGGUCCUCUGGAUUGUGAACUUCUUUUAUAAGGGACGAAAAAAGGUCUUUCUAGAUCGUCUGACGGUACCUUAUGAAUAAGCGCCGGCUAACUCCGUGCCAGCCGCCGCCGUAAAAC